UUCUACAGCCUCCCAAUAAAUAACUGAGGCUCUCGGCAUUCUUGUUAGCGAUCAAACCCCCAAUAUUUCUCACCAAUCAUGAAGCGAGUAUAAAUUCGGGUAACGAGAACGGUCGAUAAACAUUGUUCUGUAAUGCCCGUGCCCGAUAACCGAUCUCGUAGAAACCGUGAGGAAACAAGGAGACGUCAUAAGUUUGACAUCGAACACCAUGUAAACCUGCGAUUCUGAGGCGGAGAAAUUGGAUUCCCGAGCGACGUAGCAGCGAUCCCGUUCUGGGGACUUGGAAGUAGAUUGGGAUCGGAUUUUUAGCCAGUAAAUGGCCGACUCCAAGAUCUAUCAUUGCGAGGAGGUCUCCAACCACAACGUCAUUAAAAAUCGCUGGUUCGUCAUUUCCGGAAGCUUAAGGAUCAGCUGCAUCCCAAAAAGGGAGAGUACAAUGAGAUCUGCCAAAACUUGCAAAUCUAUGAUCAACAAAAUGACUCCCCAAGUUUAACUGGUUUCAUAUAGGUGAAAGCUGUAACAAAAUGGAGCUAGCUGGCUGGCUUCUGAAGCUGCAGAAAUUACAGAGUGAUGAUCAAGACUCCUUGUACUUUAUGAUUGUAAGGAUGUUGGGCUUAAAUGCAUCCACUGGUCAUAUCAGAUUGCAUAUUGAGCUGUUAUUGGCUUGCAGAUACUUUCUGACCAGGAUCCAGCGAAUCCAGCUGAACAUUUUGGGUUUUGUUAACUUAUAUGUCUAGCAAAUUUUGGCCUUAACAACCUCCAAGAUGUGAUAGUCUAUUCUAACUCCAUACCUUUUAAAGAAGUUAUAUGUAGAUAUCCAGUGCACUAAGAAUGAUUGACACAUGUACUAACAUUAAAGAUGUUUGCCGCAUUUUCUAAAACUGUUUGCUGAUACCCAAUGCAUAGUGGUCCUUGCAGGUUUAUGAUGUUAAUCCGAUUUAUGGACAAGCAUCCCGGUGGCAAUGAGGUUUUGCUGGCGGCAACUGGAAAAGAUGCCACCGAUGAUUUAGAAGACAUAGGUCAUAGUACUUUGGCAGGGGAUAUGAUGAUCAAGCACUACAUCGGUGAG